rnacentral:rRNA from 1 species
CAGCGGAGCGUGUUGGUUUAAUUCGAUGCAACGCGAAAACCUUACCAAGGCUUGACAUGCCAGAAGUAGAAACUCGAAAGAGAGACCAUCUGUAUCCAGUCAGAAGCUGGCACAGGUGCUGCGUGGCUGUCGUCAGCUCGUGUCGUGAGAUGUUGGGUUAAGUCCCGCAACGAGCGCAACCCUUGUCAUUAGUUGCCAUCAUUUGGUUGGGCACUCUAAUGAGACUGCCGGUGACAAACCGGAGGAAGGUGGGGAUGACGUCAAGUCCUCAUGGCCCUUAUGGGUAGGGCUUCACACGUCAUACAAUGGUCGGUACAGAGGGUUGUCAAGCCGCGAGGCGGAGCCAAUCCCACAAAGCCGAUCGUAGUCCGGAUUGUUCUCUGCAACUCGAGAGCAUGAAGUCGGAAUCGCUAGUAAUCGCAGGUCAGCAUACUGCGGUGAAUACGUUCCCGGGUCUU